UACGUAGGGUGCAAGCGUUAAUCGGAAUUACUGGGCGUAAAGCGUGCGCAGGCGGUGAUGUAAGACAGAUGUGAAAUCCCCGGGCUCAACCUGGGAACUGCAUUUGUGACUGCAUCGCUGGAGUACGGCAGAGGGGGAUGGAAUUCCGCGUGUAGCAGUGAAAUGCGUAGAUAUGCGGAGGAACACCGAUGGCGAAGGCAAUCCCCUGGGCCUGUACUGACGCUCAUACACGAAAGCGUGGGGAGCAAACAGG
rnacentral:rRNA from 1 species